CUGUGCAUCAAGCACAGACUUAUGCGGAAUGUAAAACCACCGCGUACCAAGUAGAACUUGGAUUAGGCUCUGACAAAAGGAGAAAACAAAUG
rnacentral:ncRNA from 1 species